rnacentral:rRNA from 1 species
GCUUAGUGGCGAACGGGUGAGUAACACGUAGGCAACCUGCCCAAAAGAGGGGGAUAACACUUGGAAACAGGUGCUAAUACCGCAUAACCAUGAACACCGCAUGAUGUUCAUGUAAAAGACGGCUUUUGCUGUCACUUUUGGAUGGGCCUGCGGCGUAUUAACUUGUUGGUGGGGUAACGGCCUACCAAGGUGAUGAUACGUAGCCGAACUGAGAGGUUGAUCGGCCACAUUGGGACUGAGACACGGCCCAAACUCCUACGGGAGGCAGCAGUAGGGAAUCUUCCACAAUGGACGAAAGUCUGAUGGAGCAACGCCGCGUGAAUGAAGAAGGCCUUUGGGUCGUAAAAUUCUGUUGUCAGAGAAGAACGUGCGUGAGAGUAACUGUUCACGUAUUGACGGUAUCUGACCAGAAAGCCACGGCUAACUACGUGCCAGCAGCCGCGGUAAUACGUAGGUGGCGAGCGUUGUCCGGAUUUAUUGGGCGUAAAGGGAACGCAGGCGGUCUUUUAAGUCUGAUGUGAAAGCCUUCGGCUUAACCGAAGUAGUGCAUUGGAAACUGGAAGACUUGAGUGCAGAAGAGGAGAGUGGAACUCCAUGUGUAGCGGUGAAAUGCGUAGAUAUAUGGAAGAACACCAGUGGCGAAAGCGGCUCUCUGGUCUGUAACUGACGCUGAGGUUCGAAAGCGUGGGUAGCAAACAGGAUUAGAUACCCUGGUAGUCCACGCCGUAAACGACGAGUGCUAAGUGUUGGAGGGUUUCCGCCCUUCAGUGCUGCAGCUAACGCAUUAAGCACUCCGCCUGGGGAGUACGGUCGCAAGACUGAAACUCAAAGGAAUUGACGGGGGCCCGCACAAGCGGUGGAGCAUGUGGUUUAAUUCGAAGCAACGCGAAGAACCUUACCAGGUCUUGACAUCUUCUGACAAUUCCAGAGAUGGAACGUUCCCUUCGGGGACAGAAUGACAGGUGGUGCAUGGUUGUCGUCAGCUCGUGUCGUGAGAUGUUGGGUUAAGUCCCGCAACGAGCGCAACCCUUAUCGUCAGUUGCCAUCAUUAAGUUGGGCACUCUGGCGAGACUGCCGGUGACAAACCGGAGGAAGGUGGGGAUGACGUCAAAUCAUCAUGCCCCUUAUGACCUGGGCUACACACGUGCUACAAUGGACGGUACAACGAGUCGCUAACUCGCGAGGGCAAGCUAAUCUCUUAAAGCCGUUCUCAGUUCGGAUUGCAGGCUGCAACUCGCCUGCAUGAAGUCGGAAUCGCUAGUAAUCGCGAAUCAGCAUGUCGCGGUGAAUACGUUCCCGGGCCUUGUACACACCGCCCGUCACACCAUGAGAGUUUGUAACACCCAAAGUCGGUGGGGUAACCUUUUGGAGCCAGCCGCCUAAGGUGGGACAGAUGAUUGGGGUGAAGUCGGAACAAGGUA